GACAGAGGAUGCAAGCGUUAUCCGGAAUGAUUGGGCGUAAAGCGUCUGUAGGUGGCUUUUUAAGUCUGCCGUCAAAUCCCAGGGCUUAACCCUGGACAGGCGGUGGAAACUACCAAGCUGGAGUACGGUAGGGGCAGGGGGAAUUUCCGGUGGAGCGGUGAAAUGCGUAGAUAUCAGGUGGAACACCGGAGGCGAAGGCGGAUAACUGGCUAGACACUGACACUGAGACCCGAAAGUGCGGGGAUCAAACAGG
rnacentral:rRNA from 1 species